AGUGGCGGACGGGUGAGUAACGCGUGAGAAUCUGCCUUGGGGUCGGGGACAACCACUGGAAACGGUGGCUAAUACCGGAUAAGCCGAUUGGUGAAAGAUUUAUUGCCCGAAGAGGAGCUCGCGUUUGAUUAGCUAGUUGGUGAGGUAAGAGCUCACCAAGGCAGCGAUCAGUAGCUGGUCUGAGAGGACGAUCAGCCACACUGGGACUGAGACACGGCCCAGACUCCUACGGGAGGCAGCAGUGGGGAAUUUUCCGCAAUGGGCGAAAGCCUGACGGAGCAAGACCGCGUGAGGGAGGAAGGCUCUUGGGUUGUAAACCUCUUUUCUCAGGGAAGAAGCUCUGACGGUACCUGAGGAAUCAGCCUCGGCUAACUCCGUGCCAGCAGCCGCGGUAAUACGGAGGAGGCAAGCGUUAUCCGGAAUUAUUGGGCGUAAAGCGUCCGCAGGUGGCGAUUCAAGUCUGCUGUCAAAGCACGGGGCUUAACUCCGUAAAGGCAGUGGAAACUGAAUAGCUAGAGUGCCGUAGGGGUAGAGGGAAUUCCCGGUGUAGCGGUGAAAUGCGUAGAGAUCGGGAAGAACAUCGGUGGCGAAAGCGCUCUACUGGACGGCAACUGACACUCAGGGACGAAAGCUAGGGGAGCGAAUGGGAUUAGAUACCCC
rnacentral:rRNA from 1 species